rnacentral:lncRNA from 1 species
UUUUUGACUUAGGGUUUUCGUAGGGAAGUUUCCUUAUGUGUUGAAAACCUAUAAAUAGGAUUUUUUGGUGAACCCUAGGUGAGAUGAGAGCGGCUGUAGUGAGUUUCUUUUGGAGUCCUAUCUCUCUUGUAAGCCCUAGGUGUGCAAUCUCCAAUAGGAAGAGAGAUCAUUGUAACCCUUGCUGAAUAUAUUGAAUCUGUGCGUGUGGCCUCCGUGGACGUAACUCGUAUUGGGGUGAACCACGUAAAAUUGUUGUCUUUGUGAUUGUUUGAUUUUAUUCUCUACUUCUUCUUCUUCUCGAUUCGUCUUU